GUGAUGGGAUAUGUAGUUCCCCUGGAUUGAAUAAAGGCGCUGGAAACGUCCAUGGACUUCCUCUUUACUUAGCGAGCCUGUGGAGCACAGGCCAAAAUAAGCAACCAUGCCCACUGCCAGGAGCUGGGUUUGUCGAAAGACCUAUGUCACCCCCCGUCGUCCCUUCGAGAAGUCUCGUCUCGACCAGGAGCUGAAACUCAUUGGUGAGUAUGGGCUCAGGAACAAGCGUGAGGUGUGGAGAGUUAAAUUCACCCUGGCCAAGAUCCGCAAGGCUGCCAGAGAGCUGCUCACCCUGGACGAGAAAGAACCCAAGCGUCUCUUUGAAGGUAAUGCUCUGUUGAGACGUCUUGUCAGAAUCGGUGUCCUCGACGAGGGUAAGAUGAAGUUGGAUUACAUCCUCGGCCUGAAGGUUGAAGAUUUCUUGGAGAGGAGGCUGCAGACCCAGGUCUUCAAGCUCGGGCUUGCCAAGAGCAUCCACCAUGCUCGUGUCCUGAUCCGUCAGAGACAUAUCCGAGGGCCACCAACAUGUAUUGCUCUUCGUUGAGAUGAAUUAAGCAUAUCACCAAGGUCACUUCGGUAUCAAAGCCGUAUACCUUGUCAGUAGAACUUGCCCAGAGCCAAUCCCAUCCAAGCGAGAGGGCUUUGGUCGAUGCCAUGUCACUGGCUGAGAGCGUGCGUAAGCAGGUGGUGAACAUCCCCUCGUUCGUGGUGCGCCUUGACAGCCAGAAGCACAUCGACUUCUCCCUGAGGUCUCCAUACGGUGGCGGACGUCCUGGCCGCGUCAAGCGAAAGAACGCCAAGAAGGGACAGGGUGGAUCCGGAGGCGCUGAUGAUGAGGA